CAACCCGACGGACUUUUUCCGACGUUAUCUCACGGGAUGUGCUGGAGAUCUGCAAGGGAAGAACUCAUGCUCAUUUACCGAUGGGGACGCUGAGGCCCACAUGUUUGCCUGCCUUGGCCGGGUGCCUCCUCCUGCUAAGGGCACGACCAGCCCACAGGAGGCUGGGUGGGGCUGUGUCAGGACAGCUGGGUGGGGACAGGGCUCCCGCCCAUCCUGUGGUCUGGGCUAGGGGCAGCUCUGCCACCCUGCCAGCUGGGCUGUGACGAACCUACACCUCGCUGGGCAGCCUGGGUGUCCUGGCGGGAGCGGCAGCCCCAGGGAGGCCCAGGGGCCAGCCCGGGCCACCCACCCUCCUCUGCUCGAGCCGUGUGUCCCAGCCCAGCUUGCAUGCAAUGCCGCCAGGGUCCGUCCUGCUCUGACCUGUUUUCCUGGCUGGGGCUGUCAGGGUUGGGCUGGACUCACUCGGGUGUCCUGCCAAGGCAGAGGUGGCCACGGGGUCAGAGGCUGCGUCCUCUGCCCUCCCCGCCCUUCCUUGGCUGAGAAGUCUUUCUCCUCCCGGCUCAUCUCGUCGAGCUCCCACCCGUCUGCCACAGCCCUGCUGAAUGGCACCCCCAGAAGAAGCUGGUCCAGCCCUUGUGCCCCCGCUGGGUUGUCGUCAUGGGUUUAGCCAUCUCGCUGGUCAUCCUGGCCGCAUAUAGCACAGCCCUGUCCAGGGAGGCUCGACCACCACUUUUCCUGGUGCUUGUGAUCACUUUAAACCAGGGCCAGGGAGGGCACGGGGGCCUAGACUCAAGCGUGUGUCAGGCAGAGGGAGAAGGAGCUAUAGACUUAUCCCCUUGGCGGGGGUUGGGGGGCACCCGACGACACGUAAAACCAGCCAGGACACACACUUUCUUGUAAUCACGAGCGGCCCUUGUUAAUGCGCCCCUGGGCCCUGCCGAUUGUACCAGAGGGAGCGUGAGGAUCUGGGAAACACACCCCUGGGUGGGGGGCAGGAACUCCAGGUGGGCUGAGCAGGCAGCACAGGGACAGUCCAAGGCUGAGGUGGCCCCAGUCUAGGCACUGGGGUCCCUGAGGUUGGAGUGUCCUGUAUGUGUCUCUGUGUCUCUGGAUGGGAUGCCAACGGCGGUGUCUGGCCAGCAAGUCCCAGGCCAGUCCCUCUGUGCAGGAACCUCCCAUCGGCCACUUCUCAUGCUCAUCCAGGCCUGUCAGCAGAUCGGGCUCACCUGGCCAGCCGGCCCAAGGCGGAGACACCCAGGGGGCCUAGCUGGGAAGGUAGGUCUUUCGUUUUUAGAAUCUGUCUCCGAAUAUAAAAAUGAUACUUGUCUGUUGUCAAAAUAUAGCUGGAAAAGCUAGAAAGACAACAAACUUAUACCAAACAUCACAAUCACCCCAUCAGGCUCAGCAAACCUCAUUAGUAUGUUGGGGAACAGUCCCCUGGGGGGGUUUCUGUACACGGUUUGACCUGCGGGGAUCAAGCUGUACCUGGGAGUUUGUGUUUGGCUCUUUUAACUUAACAUAUGUGUUAUGAUCUAAAAUCAUAUUUACUGUUUCUUUCUGAUUACAAAAUCAUUAUUUGCUCAUUGUAAAAACAAACAAUGACAGAAAUGUGAGAGAGACAGUCCAGGGGAAAAAGAAGGUGAAAAUCCCCCACAUGCCCCAAUCCAGAGGUGACGACCACAGACAUCCCUGUGGAUGGCUGUGUAAACAGCCCCAUGAGUGUAGACCAGCAAAGGCAUUAAGAACACAGGCUUCAGGGUCAGGCGGGCUGGUUCAAGUCCUGCCUCCACGGGCCACACCCGAGCUGACUUCUCAGGGCCCAGGCUUUCUCUAAAACAGAAUUGACCCGUGGGGCCUACCCCCAUAGAGUUGCUGGAGAAAUUAAUGAAUGAAGGAAAAACAUUGGCAUAAAUGAGUUAAUCCAGGUACAGUGCUUCAAAGGGUACCCAGUAAGCGCUCAAUAAAUGUCAGAUUGUGAGCAAACACCGCACAGAAUCGACAAUGGUGCCCUGGCCAGGCACUGGGGCAGGGCCUCACCUCUAUAACCACCCAGCCGCCUAGCAACCCCACGAGGUAUGUCCUUUCCUUGUCCCCAUUUUGCAGACGUGACAAGUGAAGCUGACUUAGGUCGAGUGCCUUAACAACACACGCACAAGGGCCCAGAGGUGGAAACAGCCCACGUAGCCGCGGCUAGAACAAUAAAUAAACGCAAUGCGGUCUACCCGGCGGGGGAAGAUAACUCAGCCACCGCGAGGGAGGGAUGUGGAUGAACGUAGAACACAACCCUUUCCUCAUCAAGGUUUGCACCCAUCCCCAGGACGCCGCCUCCCAGAAGUGGAAUCACGGGGUCAAAGCUGCCGCAUGACAUAUCUGGGGACAGCCCUGGCCCAUGUGAAUACCUGGGUGGGCGGGAGCACUGGCCAGCGGCCUGAAUGUGGAGAGACUGGUCAGUGCAGUGGGUCUGGCCCUGCAGCCCCGCGGGCGGAGGGCGCUGCUGCCCUUUGGCCUGUACUUUCAGGUUAAGCCUCUGCUUUCGACACCGGCCUCCGGCUUGCCAGGGCUAUAUUUAUCCUCCCAGAAGCCAGGACUUGAGGACAGUGUGGCCUCCCACGGGCCCUGGAGCUUGCCACGGCGCUUCACGGCAUGGAAUUGCCUCUGGCCACCACGUGGCCUUAGCACCCUGCCUCGAUGUUCUGAGCUGCAGUUUCCCGGUCUGGAAACCAAGGACACGGGAACUCAACCACAGGGAAAUUCCGGCGGGAGCCAGGCACACUGGCACCAAAGCGGUGGGAAAUGUCUCUUCCCGUGCUCCCUGCGACUCUGCAGGCUUCUGGUGCUUGAUCCGGGAAAGCUGACUGUGGACGUAGAAGGAGAUGUUGUUAGCAAACAGCGUCAGUGAGCACCUAGUAAACACGCGACAAGCGGGAGUUGUUGUGACUGUUGAUUUGGGCUCCUGUGCUUUGCCCACAUGGGUUUCCAUGCACAGAGAACAUUUCUGGAAGGCCACUCGAGAUCCUGUGGACAAUAGUUAGUUCCUUCUGGGGAUGAGCCAGGGACCCUUUUCACUUAUUACCUUUCUGUUCUCUUCAAAAUUUUCACCAGGAGCAUGUAUGACUUUUAUAACAAAGCAGUUCACAAUAAAACUAUACUCUGAAAUAAAAAAGCAUGAGUUAUUACGACUCUCUCAAUCUACAGAAGAAGAACAUGGUUCCUCCUCCAGGAAGUCCUCCUGUUGUCCCAGCACAGGGCCUGUUACUGUCUGUUUCCUUGGCUCCCUCUCCCAUGAAACUGGGAGUGCCUGGAAGGAAAGGCCUUUUUGACUCAUCCCCAAAUCUGCAUUGCA